rnacentral:rRNA from 1 species
AUUGGAAUGAUGGUGAUGUACAACCUCACCAGAGUACCAAUUGGAGGGCAAGUCUGGUGCCAGCAGCCGCGGUAAUUCCAGCUCCAAUAGCGUAUAUUAAACUUGUUGCAGUUAAAAAGCUCGUAGUUGUAUUUCAGCCUCGCGUUUUUUCCCUUGUUUUGGGUCUUUUCGCUGGCUUUCUUUUUACUUUGAGAAAAUUAGAGUGUUUCAAGCAGACUUUUGUCUUGAAUACUUCAGCAUGGAAUAAUAGAGUAGGACCUUGGUUCUAUUUUGUUGGUUUCGAGCCUUGGUAAUGGUUAAUAGGAACGGUUGGGGGCAUUCGUAUUUAACUGUCAGAGGUGAAAUUCUUAGAUUUGUUAAAGACGAACCACUGCGAAAGCAUUUGCCAAGGACGUUUUCAUUAAUCAAGAACGAAAGUUAGGGGAUCGAAGACGAUCAGAUACCGUCGUAG